AGUUGCAGAGCAACGGUGUCGAU
rnacentral:siRNA from 1 species